CAGUACAACUCCUACGGGAGGCAGCAGUGGGGAAUAUUGCACAAUGGGGGAAAACCCUGAUGCAGCCAUGCCGCGUGUGUGAAGAAGGCCUUCGGGUCGUAAAGCUCUUUCGCCAGAGAUGAUAAUGACAGUAUCUGGUAAAGAAAACCCCGGCUAACUCCGUGCCAGCAGCCGCGGUAAUACGGAGGGGGUUAGCGUUGUUCGGAAUUACUGGGCGUAAAGCGUACGUAGGCGGAUUAGUUAGUCAGAGGUGAAAUCCCCAGGGCUCAACCCCUGGAACUGCCUUUGAUACUGCUAGUCUUGAGUUCGAGAGAGGUGAGUGGAAUUCCGAGUGUAGAGGUGAAAUUCGUAGAUAUUCGGAGGAACACCAGUGGCGAAGGCGGCUCACUGGCUCGAUACUGACGCUGAGGUACGAAAGUGUGGGGAGCAAACAGGAUUAGAUACCCCUGGUAG
rnacentral:rRNA from 1 species